rnacentral:piRNA from 1 species
UAUACGAUUCAUCAAGGACCCGAGUU